rnacentral:rRNA from 4 species
CUGGCGGCUGUAGCGCGGUGGUCCCACCUGACCCCAUGCCGAACUCAGAAGUGAAACGCCGUAGCGCCGAUGAUAGUGUGGGGUCUCCCCAUGCGAGAGUAGGGAACUGCCAGAC